GCGCCGGUGGUGUGAGGCGAACAUCGCUGCCCGGAAAUCAGAAGAUGCGGGUUCGAGUCCCGCCCUGGCGCA
rfam:Heligmosomoides polygyrus genome assembly, scaffold: HPBE_scaffold0001970